UACAGAGGGGGCAAGCGUUAUUCGGAAUUACUGGGCGUAAAGGGCUCGUAGGUGGCCAACUAAGUCAUACGUGAAAUCCCUCGGCUUAACCGGGGAACUGCGUCUGAUACUGGAUGGCUUGAGGUUGGGAGAGGGAUGCGGAAUUCCAGGUGUAGCGGUGAAAUGCGUAGAUAUCUGGAGGAACACCGGUGGCGAAGGCGGCAUCCUGGACCAAUUCUGACACUGAGGAGCGAAAGCCAGGGGAGCAAACGGG
rnacentral:rRNA from 1 species